CCAACCUGCCCACCACUUGGGGAUAACCUUGCGAAAGUAAGACUAAUACCCAAUGAUAUCUCUAGAAGACAUCUGAAAGAGAUUAAAGAUUCAUCGGUGAUGGAUGGGGAUGCGUCUGAUUAGCUUGUUGGCGGGGUAACGGCCCACCAAGGCAACGAUCAGUAGGGGUUCUGAGAGGAAGGUCC
rnacentral:rRNA from 1 species